rnacentral:rRNA from 1 species
UGGGAAAUAUUGCGCAAUGGGGGGAACCCUGACGCAGCCAUGCCGCGUGAAUGAAGAAGGCCUUAGGGUUGUAAAGUUCUUUCGGUAUUGAGGAAGGUUGAUGUGUUAAUAGCACAUCAAAUUGACGUUAAAUACAGAAGAAGCACCGGCUAACUCCGUGCCAGCAGCCGCGGUAAUACGGAGGGUGCGAGCGUUAAUCGGAAUAACUGGGCGUAAAGGGCACGCAGGCGGUUAUUUAAGUGAGGUGUGAAAGCCCCGGGCCUAACCUGGGAAUUGCAUUUCAGACUGGGUAACUAGAGUACUUUAGGGAGGGGUAGAAUUCCACGUGUAGCGGUGAAAUGCGUAGAGAUGUGGAGGAAUACCGAAGGCGAAGGCAGCCCCUUGGGAAUGUACUGACGCUCAUGUGCGAAAGCGUGGGGAGCAAACAGGAUUAGAUACCCUGGUAGUCCACGCUGUAAACGCUGUCGAUUUGGGGGUUGGGGUUUAACUCUGGCGCCCGUAGCUAACGUGAUAAAUCGACCGCCUGGGGAGUACGGCCGCAAGGUUA